rnacentral:tRNA from 1 species
GCCUGAGUAGCUCAAUGGUUGACCGUCUGACUUUGGCUCAGGUCGUGAUCCCAGGGUCCUGGGAUCAAGUCCCACAUCAGGCU